rnacentral:rRNA from 1 species
UAAGACGGAGGGAGCGAGCGUUGUUCGGAUUCAUUGGGCGUAAAGGGCAAGUAGGCGGCCCGCUAAGUCAGGUGUGAAAGCCCUCCGCUCAACGGAGGAAUUGCAUCCGAUACUGGCGGGCUUGAGGAGUGGAGAAGCGAGCGGAAUUCUCGGUGUAGCGGUGGAAUGCGUAGAUAUCGAGAAGAACUCCAGUGGCGAAGGCGGCUCGCUAGACACUUACUGACGCUGAAUUGCGACAGCCAGGGGAGCGAACGGGAUUAGAUACCCCGGUAGUCCUGGCCGUAAACGAUGGGCACUGGGUAUGGUGGGUAUCGACCCCUGCCGUGCCGAAGCUAACGCAUUAAGUGCCCCGCCUGGGGAGUACGGCCGCAAGGCUG